UACGUAGGGGGCUAGCGUUGUCCGGAAUUAUUGGGCGUAAGGAGCGUGUAGGCGGUUCGAUAAGUCUGCUGUAAAAGUCGGGGGCUCAACCCUCGAAGGCCGGUGGAUACUGUCGAGCUAGAGUACGGAAGAGGCGAGUGGAAUUCCUGGUGUAGCGGUGAAAUGCGCAGAUAUCAGGAAGAACACCAAUGGCGAAGGCAGCUCUCUGGGACGGUACUGACGCUGAGACGCGAAAGCGUGGGGAGCGAACAGG
rnacentral:rRNA from 1 species